AGCAGGGAAGAAGCGAAAGUGACGGUACCUGCAGAAGAAGCACCGGCCAACUACGUGCCAGCAGCCGCGGUAAUACGUAGGGUGCAAGCGUUGUCCGGAAUUAUUGGGCGUAAAGAGCUCGUAGGCGGUUCGUCGCGUCGGCUGUGAAAACCUGAGGCUCAACCUCAGGCCUGCAGUCGAUACGGGCGGACUGGAGUUCGGCAGGGGAGACUGGAAUUCCUGGUGUAGCGGUGAAAUGCGCAGAUAUCAGGAGGAACACCGAUGGCGAAGGCAGGUCUCUGGGCUGUUACUGACGCUGAGGAGCGAAAGCAUGGGGAGCGAACAGGAUUAGAUACCCUGGUAGUCCAUGCCGUAAACGUUGGGCACUAGGUGUGGGGGACAUUCCACGUUCUCCGCGCCGUAGCUAACGCAUUAAGUGCCCCGCCUGGGGAGUACGGCCGCAAGGCUAAAACUCAAAGGAAUUGACGGGGGCCCGCACAAGCGGCGGAGCAUGCGGAUUAAUUCGAUGCAACGCGAAGAACCUUACCAAGGCUUGACAUUCACCGGACCGCCUCAGAGAUGGGGUUUCCCUUCGGGGUCGGUGGACAGGUGGUGCAUGGUUGUCGUCAGCUCGUGUCGUG
rnacentral:rRNA from 1 species